rnacentral:rRNA from 1 species
GAANACUACACUGUCUCCCCCCUAAAAUCAAUGAANCUAAUCUCCUCGUGAAGAAGCGAGGAUACAAAUAUAAGACGAGAAGACCCCAUGGAGCUUUAAACAAACCCCAACUGCUCCCUCCCUAAUCAUAGAAAUUGAGCAUUAAUGACGGGUAGUUUUCGGUUGGGGUGACCGCGGAGUAAAACAAAACCUCCACAAUGAAUGUAAUAAAAUACUAAUAAAAGAACCACAAUUCUAAUAAUCAAAAAAUUGACAUAUUUGACCCAAACACUUGAUCAAUGAACCAAGUUACCCUGGGGAUAACAGCGCAAUCCAUUUUAAGAGCCCCUAUCGACAAAUGGGUUUACGACCUCGAUGUUGGAUCAGGGUAUCCUAGUGGUGCAGCCGCUACUAACGGUUCGUUUGUUCAACGAUUAAAACCCUACGUGAUCUG